CCAAAGUGGGUGGUAAACUCCGUCUACGGGUAAAUACUUGCGCGAGUCCGAUAGCGGACAAGUACCGUGAGGGAAAGUUGAAAAGUACCUGAAACCUCGCAGAGGUAAACGGGUGGAUCUGCAAAGUCGGUCCGUGGAUAUCAGCGCGGUCCGGGGAGGCCGCUGUUCGGGAACCUUCAGAGAACCGACAGUGGUAUCGAGCCGGGCUCAGCCGCUUGCACUUUCUGCUGAAAGAGAGCCACAAUCAGUUUGAUGGCGGUCACAUGUUGCGGAGGGUUUUCGGUGGGGCGCAUGCGUCCCUACCAGCCUUCUCCGGCGAGCUGCUGCCAGACUGAGGGACCGUUGCUCGCUUCGAUGGCACCCUCCCUUCAGGGUGAUUUUGACUGGGAGAGACUGGGCAACCGUGUCUCCUGACCGCUCAUCCGCAACUGGCACGAGGCUGGCCGGUCAAGCCUCUUGGGUUGGUGGCAAGUCUCGGCAAUCCACCCGACCUGUCUGGGAA
rnacentral:rRNA from 1 species